CGCCUAAUACAUGCAAGUCGAACGAAGUAGCAAUACUUAGUGGCAGACGGGUGAGUAACAUGUGGGUAUCUUCCCUUUGGUGAGGAAUAACACGAGGAAACUUGUGCUAAUACCUCAUAAGUCUUUACGGAGAAAGCUUUAUGCGCCAAUGGAUGAGCCCGCACUUGAUUAGUUUGUUGGUGGGGUAAUGGCCUACCAAGACAAUGAUCAAUAGCUGAUUUGAGAGGAUGAUCAGCCACAUUGGGACUGAGACACGGCCCAAACUCCUACGGGAGGCAGCAGUAGGGAAUCUUGCACAAUGGAGGAAACUCUGAUGCAGCGAUGCCGCGUGAGUGAAGAAGGCCUUUGGGUUGUAAAGCUCUUUCGUCGGGGAAGAAAAUGACUGUACCCGAAUAAGAAGGUCCGGCUAACUUCGUGCCAGCAGCCGCGGUAAUACGAAGGGACCUAGCGUAGUUCGGAAUUACUGGGCUUAAAGAGUUCGUAGGUGGUUAAAAAAGUUGGUGGUGAAAGCCCAGAGCUUAACUCUGGAACGGCCAUCAAAACUUUUUAGCUAGAGUAUGAUAGAGGAAAGCAGAAUUUCUAGUGUAGAGGUGAAAUUCGUAGAUAUUAGAAAGAAUACCAAUUGCGAAGGCAGCUUUCUGGAUCAUUACUGACACUGAGGAACGAAAGCAUGGGUAGCGAAGAGGAUUAGAUACCCUCGUAGUCCAUGCUGUAAACGAUGUGUGUUAGAUGUUGGAAAUUUAUUUUCAGUAUCGCAGCGAAAGCAAUAAACACACCGCCUGGGGAGUACGACCG
rnacentral:rRNA from 1 species